UCCGGUUUGUCACCGGCAGUCUCCCUAGAGUGCCCUUGCGUAGCAACUAGGGACAAGGGUUGCGCUCGUUGCGGGACUUAACCCAACAUCUCACGACACGAGCUGACGACAACCAUGCACCACCUGUAUACCGACCUUGCGGGGGACACAUUUCUGCAUCUUUCCGGUAUAUGUCAAGCCUUGGUAAGGUUCUUCGCGUUGCAUCGAAUUAAUCCGCAUGCUCCGCCGCUUGUGCGGGCCCCCGUCAAUUCCUUUGAGUUUUAGCCUUGCGGCCGUACUCCCCAGGCGGGGAACUUAAUGCGUUAGCUGCGACACAGAAUCCGUGGAAUGGACCCUACAUCUAGUUCCCAACGUUUACGGCAUGGACUAC
rnacentral:misc_RNA from 1 species